rnacentral:lncRNA from 1 species
GCAUCACUAGUGCAUUUAUGAGCAUCUCUCCGUAUGUACUUCAUUCGGUUACGAUGAGGACGUCAUAGGUUUUAAGCGGAGGGGGGGGGGGCAUCACCGUUCAUGUGCAAGCAGGAGUUUUUGGAUCUAGUUUAUUCAAGUCAAGUCGUGUGAGUGUCUAAAUUAGUGUUUUUAUUUCAAUCAAAAUUUGAUAAAGUAGUCAUCUUCCUAGCUUCGGGAAGGCUUAGGUUUAGAUCGCUACUUUAGCAUCUAGGUUUGAAGAAGCAUGAAUAAAAUUGAGGAUCGUGUGAGUAUUUUUAGUGUCUAACUUUGCUUACUUGUCUUUUACUUUGUCUUUACAACUUUUGAUCAUGAGCUUUGUCUUGAAUUUUAAAUCUUAGUUGUGGAGUUAAGUAAUUGAUUUAUCUUUGCAAGACCCAAUCCUUCAUGAUGAUCUAGUACUUUGGUUUUGAUUAUGCUCUAUGAGGAAGGUUUAAUUUGUAGGUGACUUAAAAUUUUUAUUGCUUAUCAAAAAUCUCUGCAAAAACAAGAUUGAUCAAGUUCUCUACCUUGGUUGAGAGUUGUUUAUGCUAUCCAAAGCCUAAAAAGAUUUAUCCAUACCACCAUAAGCAAAACUAAUGCUUUGAAUUGAGUUAGGAUCGCUCUCUCUAGGAUUUUUUAAUUUCGAGCAUUGAUCAUAUCCUUCUACUAUCUUUUAUUGCUAGCCUCAUCAAUAUUCAGUAAUGAGAGUUUUUUCAUUGGAAUAAUCAUAUUUUCUACUGAAUUCCUUAACCCCGAACCAAAUAUUUCUAUAUUUUAUUACCUAUUCCUUGAACACAACCCAAUAUUCAAAGAUUUAUUGCAUUUUCUGGCCGUGGAAUAUGAAAUUUUAUGGAAGGGACAAUGUAUGGAAGUCACACUAGAAAAGGGAGCGAAAAAGGAGGGUAGAGGAGGCCUGGCACACUCUAGGCCGAUCGGCUUGUGGCUCUCCUACCUCGGUUCGCGUGCGAAGAAUUUUGGGAAGCUCUCUAGAAUGUUCUAAAGCUAAAAUUUGUGGUGUGGUGUUCAAAGGAGGUUCGGAGAAGAGAUGAAAAAUAAGAAAAAUAGGGAAGAAAGAAAGAAAGUGUGUGAAAUAAAAGGAAAAAAGGGGGUAUAAGAAAGAGAAAAAAAGAAUAAGAUUGAAAAGAGGAGGAGUUUGUACUGUCAUGAAGAUCACUGAAAGUGCAAAGAAGGAUUACAUUGCUUACAGGACGGAUCUUCAUUCCAACCAUGACAACGAGAUCAUCGCUUGUGCCUCGGAGUCACUAUUUUAUUUCCCUUUGCACAUAUCCACCAUUUUAUAUCUUCCCAUCCUUGAAAACCUCACAUUAUGUGGAUAUUAUUAUGAUCAAUCACUCGGAAGGUACGCAACUGCUAGAGAGUUUUCUUAAUUCGAUAAUAUAAGUGUUGAUUCUUGCUAAGCCUUAUCC